UGGGGAAUAUUGCACAAUGGGCGCAAGCCUGAUGCAGCCAUGCCGCGUGUGUGAAGAAGGCCUUCGGGUUGUAAAGCACUUUCAGCGAGGAGGAAGGUGGUGAGCUUAAUACGCUCAUCAAUUGACGUUACUCGCAGAAGAAGCACCGGCUAACUCCGUGCCAGCAGCCGCGGUAAUACGGAGGGUGCAAGCGUUAAUCGGAAUUACUGGGCGUAAAGCGCACGCAGGCGGUUUGUUAAGUCAGAUGUGAAAUCCCCGGGCUCAACCUGGGAACUGCAUUUGAAACUGGCAAGCUAGAGUCUCGUAGAGGGGGGUAGAAUUCCAGGUGUAGCGGUGAAAUGCGUAGAGAUCUGGAGGAAUACCGGUGGCGAAGGCGGCCCCCCUGGACGAAGACUGACGCUCAGGUGCGAAAGCGUGGGGCAGCAAACAGGAUUAGAUACCCUGGUAGUCCA
rnacentral:rRNA from 1 species